rnacentral:rRNA from 1 species
GACGAACGCUGGCGGCGUGCUUAACACAUGCAAGUCGAACGCAGUGGCGACCGGGUGAGUAACGCGUAAUCAACCUGCCCUUCAGAGGGGGACAACAGUUGGAAACGACUGCUACUACCGCAUACUGAAGGAUGGGCUUGCGUCUGAUUAGCUAGUUGGAGGGGUAACGGCCCACCAAGGCGAUGAUCAGUAGCCGGGCUGAGAGGAUGAACGGCCACAGUGGGACUGAGACACGGGCCAGACGCCGACGGGAGGCAGCAGUGGGGAAUCUGCCGCAAUGGACGAAAGUCUGACGAAGCAACGCCGCGUGAGUGAUGACGGCCUUCGGGUUGUAAAGCUCUGUUAAUCGGGACGCGGUACCGGAAUAGAAAGCCACGGCUAACUACGUGCCAGCAGCCGCGGUAAUAC